CACUGCCAAGAAAAGCUUCUAGUGAGAAAGUAACUGCCCGUACCGCAAACCGACACAGGUAGUUGAGGAGAGAAUCCUAAGGUGUGCGAGAGAACUCUCGUUAAGGAACUCGGCAAAAUGACCCCGUAACUUCGGGAGAAGGGGUGCUGACCGCAAGGUCAGCCGCAGUGAAUAGGCCCAAGCGACUGUUUAUCAAAAACACAGGUCUCUGCAAAAUCGAAAGAUGACGUAUAGGGGCUGACGCCUGCCCGGUGCUGGAAGGUUAAGAGGAGAGGUUAGCGCAAGCGAAGCUUUGAAUUGAAGCCCCAGUAAACGGCGGCCGUAACUAUAACGGUCCUAAGGUAGCGAAAUUCCUUGUCGGGUAAGUUCCGACCCGCACGAAAGGCGUAACGAUUUGGGCACUGUCUCAACGAGAGACUCGGUGAAAUUAUAGUACCAGUGAAGAUGCUGGUUACCCGCGACAGGACGGAAAGACCCCAUGGAGCUUUACUGCAGUUUGAUAUUGCGUGUUUGUAUCACAUGUACAGGAUAGGUAGGAGCCGAAGAUACCGGGACGCCAGUCUCGGAGGAGGCAACGGUGGGAUACUACCCUUGUGAUAUGACCACUCUAACCCGCUGCUCUUAGCGAGCAGGGAGACAGUGUCAGACGGGCAGUUUGACUGGGGCGGUCGCCUCCAAAAAUGUAACGGAGGCGCCCAAAGGUUCCCUCAGAAUGGUUGGAAAUCAUUCGUAGAGUGUAAAGGCAGAAGGGAGCUUGACUGCGAGACCUACAAGUCGAGCAGGGACGAAAGUCGGGCUUAGUGAUCCGGUGGUUCCGCAUGGAAGGGCCAUUGCUCAACGGAUAAAAGCUACCCUGGGGAUAACAGGCUUAUCUCCCCCAAGAGUUCACAUCGACGGGGAGGUUUGGCACCUCGAUGUCGGCUCAUCGCAUCCUGGGGCUGUAGUCGGUCCCAAGGGUUGGGCUGUUCGCCCAUUAAAGCGGUACGCGUGCUGGGUUCAGAACGUCGUGAGACAGUUCGGUCCCUAUCCGUCGCGGGCGUUGGAAAUUUGAGAGGAGCUGUCCUUAGUACGAGAGGACCGGGAUGGACACACCACUGGUGUACCAGUUGUUCUGCCAAGAGCAUCGCUGGGUAGCUAUGUGUGGACGGGAUAAACGCUGAAAGCAUCUAAGCGUGAAGCCCCCCUCAAGAUGAGAUUUCCCAUCACUUUAAGUGAGUAAGACCCCUGAGAGAUGAUCAGGUAGAUAGGUUGGGAGUGGAAGUACAGCGAUGUAUGGAGCGGACCAAUACUAAUCGGUCGAGGACUUAAUC
rnacentral:rRNA from 1 species